GGCGUGCUGGGACAGGAGGGCGGUCUGGGAGGGCUCCGCACAUCGUCCCCCUAGCCACCCGCUCGCGUUUCAGGAACUCAGAAAGCCAUGCUGUGACCAUGAGGAGACUAGCCUGAGAAUAAAAUUCACCGAGAGGCAGAAUGGAAAGACAGAAGAAAUCUGGGCCCAUCCGAUGUCAUUAAACUGCUCAGUUAACCAACCCUGGAACUGCCCCGCCUCUGGACUUAUUUUUAAGGACAAGAUCCCGGUCCAGCCUCCUGACUGCAUGGAGAUCCCUCUUCUUCCUGAAAGGCAGUGGAUGUACCUGAAAGGAGCCUCCACAGACGUUCCCAAGGAGACCCGGGUUUUAAGCCCAGAUCUGUCUGCACUUGCUGUUUGGGUCAUGCCAUGCACUUCACUUUAGUCAUCUGUAAAAUGGGUAUUAUUGUUCUGUUAGCAGUGGAAUACAUCAGAGACCUGGCACCAAAAUAUCUUAGCCGCAGUGAAUCCUUACGGAUCUGCAGCAACCUCAAUUCUUGCCUCCUCAGAAGAAAGAAUUCAACUGAGGGGCAUAAGGCAGAUGGAGAGACUGAGGCAACUUUUAGAGUAGGAGUGAAAGUUUAUUAAAAAGUUUUAGAGCCAGAACAAAAGGAAGUAAAGCACAUUUGGAAGAGGGCCAAGCUGGUGACUUGAGAGAUCAAGUGUGCAGUUUUGACCUUUGAUUUGGGGUUUUAUACACUGGCAUACCUCCAAGAUCCCACAUCCCUUCUCCCCCGAAUCUGCCCUUGGGGUGUGCUGUCUGCAAGCACUGUGGCCUGCUAGCGCUUGGGAGCGGAGCAUGAGCAGUGUGUUUACUGGAGUUGUGCACAUGCUCACUUGAGGCCUUCUCCUCUCACCAGUCAUAACCAGCUAAAUGCCGCCAUUCUGCUCUUAGUGUGCAUUCUUGAGCCCACUCGUCCAACUUCUGAGAUCUUAUCAGGAAGCAGCUGAUUACUAGUUUCAGGUGUUUCUGUCUAAUGGGAGAUUGCCUUUCCCUGGCCCUGGCUGUAACCAAUUAUUAUUUUAGAGAGAUAGUUUAUUAUUAUAAUAACUAUCUGACCAUCACCUGGUGGUUGCCUGACAUUGCUGGUGGGUAGGGGUCUCUCCUGCCCUACCCAUGUCUGCCUGAUGACCUACUGAACAGCUCUGCUGCAACUGCUUACCAGAACUUCCCUGAGACUCCUGAGAGGCCAAGAAUAGGACAUCUUCAUUGUCCAGCAUCAGAUGUCGUGUGUGUAUCCUUGGGUGGACAGUUGUUGGCACCCACUACCAAGGAGGCACUCAGGUUGUUUCUUUGUUUCUUCUUAGAGACAGGGCCUUUGCUCAUUUGCCCAGGCUGAAGGAAAGUGGUGUGAUUACAGCUCAAUGCAGCCUCAAACUCCUAG
rnacentral:lncRNA from 13 species